rnacentral:rRNA from 1 species
ACAGAGGUGGCGAGCGUUGUUCGGAUUUACUGGGCGUAAAGGGCGCGUAGGAGGCGGAGUGUGUUGGGUGUGAAAUCUCCGGGCCCAACCCUGGAACGGCGUUGUAAACUGUCUCGCUCGAGGGUGGGAGGGGAGAGCGGAAUGCUAGGUGUAGCGGUGAAAUGCGUAGAUAUCCAGCGGAACACCAGUGGCGAAGGCGAGUCUCUGGAAGAGAACUGACACUGAGGCACGAAAGUUAGGGGAUCAAACAG